GAUGAACGCUAGCGGGAGGCCUAACACAUGCAAGCCGAGCGGUAUUUGUUCUUCGGAACAGAGAGAGCGGCGCACGGGUGCGGAACACGUGUGCAACCUGCCUUUAUCUGGGGGAUAGCCUUUCGAAAGGAAGAUUAAUACCCCAUAAUAUAUUGAGUGGCAUCACUUGAUAUUGAAAACUCCGGUGGAUAGAGAUGGGCACGCGCAAGAUUAGAUAGUUGGUGAGGUAACGGCUCACCAAGUCAAUGAUCUUUAGGGGGCCUGAGAGGGUGAUCCCCCACCCUGGUACUGAGACACGGACCAGACUCCUACGGGAGGCAGCAGUGAGGAAUAUUGGACAAUGGGUUAGCGCCUGAUCCAGCCAUCCCGCGUGAAGGACGACGGCCCUAUGGGUUGUAAACUUCUUUUGUAUAGGGAUAAACCUACUCUCGUGAGAGUAGCUGAGGGUACUAUACGAAUAAGCACCGGCUCACUCCG
rnacentral:rRNA from 1 species